AGGUCUAUAGUUUAUUAAAAUUUUUAGCUUGCAAUUAAAAGAUACAUUAGUUAGCCCUU
rnacentral:tRNA from 1 species